rnacentral:rRNA from 1 species
UCCGGCAGCUAGCUCUCUGCAACUCUCACAUGGUCGCCCACUGAAGCUAAGCAGGGCUGCGCCUGGUCAGUACCUGGAUGGGAGACCACAUGGGAAAGCUAGGUUGCUGCCGGAA